rnacentral:rRNA from 1 species
UACGUAGGGACCAAGCGUUGUCCGGAAUCAUUGGGCGUAAAGAGCGUGUAGGCGGCCUGUUAAGUCUUGCGUGAAAUCUCGGGGCUCAACCCCGAGCGGUCGUGAGAAACUGGCAGGCUAGAGUGCGGGAGAGGAGAGUGGAAUUCCUGGUGUAGCGGUGAAAUGCGCAGAUAUCAGGAAGAACACCCGUGGCGAAGGCGGCUCUCUGGGACGGUACUGACGCUGAGACGCGAAAAGCGUGGGGAGCGAACAGG